rnacentral:rRNA from 1 species
GUCCAGACUCCUACGGGAGGCAGCAGUGGGGAAUAUUGCACAAUGGGGGAAACCCUGAUGCAGCGACGCCGCGUGAGUGAAGAAGUAUUUCGGUAUGUAAAGCUCUAUCAGCAGGGAAGAUAAUGACGGUACCUGGCUAAGAAGCCCCGGCUAACUACGUGCCAGCAGCCGCGGUAAUACGUAGGGGGCAAGCGUUAUCCGGAUUUACUGGGUGUAAAGGGAGCGUAGGUGGCAGGGCAAGUCAGAUGUGAAAACCCGGGGCUCAACCCCGGGAGUGCAUUUGAAACUGUCCAGCUGGAGUGCAGGAGAGGUAAGCGGAAUUCCUAGUGUAGCGGUGAAAUGCGUAGAUAUUAGGAAGAACACCAGUGGCGAAGGCGACUUUCUGGACUGAAACUGACGCUGAGGCUCGAAAGCGUGGGGAGCGAACAGGAUUAGAUACCCCUGUA